rnacentral:rRNA from 1 species
AGAAUCAACGCUGGCGGCGUGCCUAACACAUGCAAGUCGAACGAGAAAGAGAUUUCGGUCCUGAGUAUAGUGGCGUACGGGUGAGUAACACGUGAAUCAUCUACCUUCGAGUGGGGAAUAACUAAAGGAACUUUAGCUAAUACCGCAUAAUACCUACGGGUCAAAGUGAGUAAUUGCGCUUGAAGAGGAGUUCGCGGCAGAUUAGUUAGUUGGCGGGGUAAUGGCCCACCAAGACGAUGAUCUGUAUCCGGCCUGAGAGGGCGCACGGACACACUGGAACUGAAACACGGUCCAGACUCCUACGGGAGGCAGCAGUGGGGAAUUUUGCGCAAUGGGGGAAACCCUGACGCAGCAACGCCGCGUGGAGGAUGAAGUAUCUUGGUACGUAAACUCCUUUCGAUGGGGAAGAUAAUGACGGUACCCAUAGAAGAAGCCCGGCUAACUUCGUGCCAGCAGCCGC